UGGUGCAAUAAGGAGAUUGAGCGAGAUCUGAUACAUAUCUGAUUUUAGAUGGAAUCUUAUCUCACUUAGCAGACUAGAUUCAAACAGCUAUAGGGGGUAUCUAUUGAUGGAAUCCUGAAGGUUAUGCAUGGGGAUAGGAUUAUUCUGGAGGAGGAGAAGAGGAUAAGAGGAUAUUACUAUCUGAUAGGAAGUCCAGUGCGAGGUGAAGCUUUAGGAGCUAGGAGAGUCCAGUGUGAGGUGGAGCUUCAUAUGGAGAUGGAAUGGGCAUGAGGUGGAAGAAUCGGGAGGAUGAGAGGCGACGUCGCAAAGUAAAAUUUCUAUUACCGUAGAAAACUUCUCCGAGCAGGUCUUUGAUCAAAGUGGGCAUAGCCCAUGAUGGAGUUGGGAUCGAGCGACCUAGCUCGACUCUCACGUUUGUCCAUCUAUAAGAUAGCAGGUGUGCCUUAGGAUGUGGGGGCGAGAUAGAUCGUAAGCUCUCAGAGACAGGUGGAGGCCGAACAUCAAGUCGAGAUAGAGAUUGUUGAAAAAACUACCUCAAGAUUCAAUCUACAAUAAACUCAGAAUGAGGUCCAGGA
rnacentral:lncRNA from 1 species